rnacentral:rRNA from 1 species
UAGGGAAUCUCCACAUGGACGAAAGUCUGAUGGAGCAACGCCGCGUGAGUGAAGAAGGGUUUCGGCUCGUAAAGCUCUGUUGGUAGUGAAGAAAGAUAGAGGUAGUAACUGGCCUUUAUUUGACGGUAAUUACUUAGAAAGUCACGGCUAACUACGUGCC